UGGUGGAGUGAUUUGUCUGGUUAAUUCCGUUAACGAACGAGACCUCGACCUGCUAAAUAGUUCGCCGAACCAUCUGGUUCGCCGCGACACUUCUUAGAGGGACUAUCGGUGUGUAGCCGAUGGAAGUUCGAGGCAAUAACA
rnacentral:rRNA from 1 species